GCGGAGGAAAAGAAACCAACAGGGAUUGCCCUAGUAACGGCGAGUGAAGCGGCAACAGCUCAAAUUUGAAAUCUGGCCUUCUGGUCCGAAUUGUAAUUUGCAGAGGAUGCAUUUGACGCGGUACCUUUCGAGUUCCUUGGAACAGGACGCCUUAGAGGGUGAGAGCCCCGUACGAUUGGCCACCAAGUCUCUGUAAUGCUCCUUCGACGAGUCGAGUAGUUUGGGAAUGCUGCUCUAAAUGGGAGGUAAAUUUCUUCUAAAGCUAAAUACCGGCCAGAGACCGAUAGCGCACAAGUAGAGUGAUCGAAAGAUGAAAAGCACUUUGAAAAGAGGGUUAAAUAGCACGUGAAAUUGUUGAAAGGGAAGCGCUUAUGACCAGACUUUUUCUAGGGGGAUCAUCCGGCGUUCUCGCUGGUGCACUUCCCCUGGUUUAGGCCAACAUCGGGUUUCUGCGGGGAGGAUAAAGGCUUCGGGGAAUGUGACUCCUCCCGGGAGUGUUAUAGCCCCGUUGCAUAAUACCCUUCGCGGGGGACCGAGGUACCGCGCAAUUGCAAGGGAUGUUGGGCAUAAAGGGUCAUCAAUUGACCCGUCUUUGAAACACC
rnacentral:rRNA from 1 species